GCCCAGUGGGUAGAGUGAUGCACUUUGAGUUUGGCGUGAGGGAAGUGAGGGGCGCGUAGGUUCGAACCCCCCUCUCGGAACUCACAAAAACCUUGAAAGAGCAUCCCUCCAUCACCAUGUGUGAUGGAACUGCCCACGGGGAGGAGGGGAGGUGAGUGCGCAGCACCUCCCUACCCCUCCCCAGGGGAGGAAGGCACCGCCUUACCGGCCCCCGGGAGAGCAAGGGAGGUGAGUGCACAGCGCUUCCCUUCUCUCCCCUACCUAACCCUGGCAAGUCUACGGACCACCAGGCAAAAAAUAAUAAAAAUAAAAAAAAAAUAAAAAACAAAAAAAAAAAUUAAAUAAAUAAAUAAAGGUAAGUGCAUAGCACUUCUCUUCUCUCCACCUAACAGAAUAAAAAAUAUAAAGGUGAGUGCAUAGCACUUCCCUUCUCUUCCAACCUACCAGGCAAAAGAUAGAAAAAAAAAAUAAAGAAUUAAGGUGAGUGCAUAGCACUUCCCUUGUCUCCUAACCUACCACGCAAAAAAAAAUAAAAAAUAAAUAAAUAAAUAAAAUAAAUAAAUAAAUAAAUAAAGAUGAAUAAAUAAAUAAAUAAAAAUAAAUAAAAACCUCCUUACCACCUCGGACCUCGGGAGAGCAAGGGAGGUGAGUGCACAGCACUUCCCUUCUCUCCCCAAGUCUACGGACUGCCAGACCAAAAAGAAUAAAAUAUAUAUAGGUAUAAAAAAUAAUAAUAAAAGUAAUAAAAAAAAAGAUAAAUGAAAAAAUAAGUAAAUAAAACAAAAACAAUAAAACUCCUACUCCCCCCUCAAUAAAACUGACUGAGUCUGGCAAUCAACAAUAAAUAAUAAAAAUAAAACAAUACCAACUGACUGACCCUGACAACCCCAAAGACCACCACCCACCUGGGAAGCACGGGAGGUGAGUGUGCAGCACCUCCCUACCCUUCCCAGUCUCCCAGUUUGACUUUGACCACCAAUCUGACUCAUCCUACCAACUCCAAAGAGCAACUCCAACUGUACAGACCACCACCACCACCACCCUUCUGAUCUCGGCAAGGUGAGUGCGUAGCACUUCCCUGGACUGACCCUGACUGACUGACCCUGGCAACUCCAAAAACAACCAACCUGACUGACU